rfam:Danio rerio chromosome 1, GRCz11 reference primary assembly.
CAUUGUGUUCACAGCCCACUGAAGCUAAGCAGGGCUGCGCCUGGUCAGUACCUGGAUGGAAGACCACAUGGGAAAGCUAGGUUGCUGCCGGAA